rnacentral:snRNA from 1 species
GUGCUCGCUUCAGCAGCACAUACACUAAAGAGAUUAGCAUGGGCCCCUGCACAAAGCAAAUUUGUGAAGUGUUCCAUAUUUUU